rnacentral:rRNA from 1 species
GCAAAUUGACACCGUAACUUCGGGAGAAGGUGUGCCCUUGAGGGUGAUCGGCUUCGCGCCGCGAGCCUUUGGGGGUUGCAGAGAAUCGGGGGUAGCGACUGUUUAUCAAAAACACAGGACUCUGCGAAGUCGCAAGACGACGUAUAGGGUCUGACGCCUGCCCGGUGCUGGAAGGUUAACAGGAGAUGUCAGGGCAACCGAAGCAUCGAAUCGAAGCCCCAGUAAACGGCGGCCGUAACAAUAACGGUCCUAAGGUAGCGAAAUUCCUUGGCGGGUAAGUUCCGUCCUGCACGAAUGGCGUAACGACUUCCCCACUGUCUCGACCCGGGACUCAGCGAAAUUGAAAUCGGGGUGAAGAUGCCCCGUACCCGCGGAAAGACGGAAAGACCCCGUGAACCUUUACUGCAGCUUGGCACUGGUUUUCGGAUUUGUCUGUGUAGGAUAGGUGGGAGGCUGUGAAGUGGGGGCGCUAGCUUCCACGGAGCCACCGUUGAAAUACCACCCUGACAAAUCUGAAAGCCUAACCGUGACCCGUAAGCCGGGUCCGGAACACUGCCUGGUGGGUAGUUUGACUGGGGCGGUCACCUCCGAAAAAGUAACGGAGGCGCGCAAAGGUUCCCUCAGGCUGAUUGGAAACCAGCCGUAGAGUGUAAAAGCACAAGGGAGCUUGACUGCAACUCAUUCGAGAGGAGCAGGUACGAAAGUAGGCUUUAGUGAUCCGGUGGUUCUGAAUGGAAGGGCCAUCGCUCAACGGAUAAAAGGUACUCCGGGGAUAACAGGCUUAUCACGCCCAAGAGUUCACAUCGACGGCGUGGUUUGGCACCUCGAUGUCGGCUCAUCGCAUCCUGGGGCUGUAGUAGGUCCCAAGGGUUUGGCUGUUCGCCAAUUAAAGCGGUACGCGAGCUGGGUUCAAAACGUCGUGAGACAGUUUGGUCCCUAUCUUCCGUGGGCGCAGGAGUCUUGAAGUGGAUCUGUCCCUAGUACGAGAGGACCGGGAUGGACGAACCCCUGGUGUUCCGGUUGUUUUGCCAGAGGCAUUGCCGGGUAGCUAUGUUCGGAACGGAUAACCGCUGAAAGCAUCUAAGCGGGAAGCCAACCACAAGAUGAGGACUCCCUGAAGGCCCGUUGUAGACUACGACGUUGAUAGGCUGGGUGUGGAAGUGCGGCAACGCAUGGAGCUAACCAGUACUAAUCGGCCGUUUGGCUUGACC